UACGAAGGGGGCUAGCGUUGCUCGGAAUCACUGGGCGUAAAGGGUGCGUAGGCGGGUCUUUAAGUCAGGGGUGAAAUCCUGGAGCUCAACUCCAGAACUGCCUUUGAUACUGAGGAUCUUGAGUUCGGGAGAGGUGAGUGGAACUGCGAGUGUAGAGGUGAAAUUCGUAGAUAUUCGCAAGAACACCAGUGGCGAAGGCGGCUCACUGGCCCGAUACUGACGCUGAGGCACGAAAGCGAUGGGGAGCAA
rnacentral:rRNA from 1 species